CCUACGGGGGGCAGCAGUGGGGAAUCUUGGGCAAUGGGCGCAAGCCUGACCCAGCAACGCCGCGUGAAGGAAGAAGGUUUUCGGGUUGUAAACCUCUUUUGUCAGGGAAGAGUAGAAGACGGUAUCUGACGAAUAAGCUACGGCUAAAUACGUGCCAGCAGCCGCGGCUAUAAGCAGGGGGCAAGCGUUGUCCGGAAUUACUGGGCGUAAAGGGGGUGUAGCCGGGUUGACAAGUCAGAUGUGAAAUCCUUCGGCUUAAACGAAGAACUGCAUUUGAAACUGUUGAUCUUGAGUGCUAGAGAGGCAGAUGGAAUUCCUAGUGUAGCGGUGAAAUGCGUAGAUAUUAGGAGGAACACCAGUGGCGAAGGCGGUCUGCUGGACAGCAACUGACGGUGAGGCGCGAAAGCGUGGGGAGCAAACAGGAUUAGAUACCCUUGUAGUC
rnacentral:rRNA from 1 species